rnacentral:rRNA from 1 species
AUUGAACGCUGGCGGCAGGCCUAACACAUGCAAGUCGCACGAGUGGCGGACGGGUGAGUAAUGUCUGGGCAACUGCCUGAUGGCGGGGGAUAACUACUGGAAACGGUAGCUAAUACCGCAUACCAUCAGAUGUGCCCAGAUGGGAGUAGCUUGUUGGUGGGGUAACGGCUCACAAAGGCGACGAUCCCUAGCGGGUCUGAGAGGAGUACCAUCCACCCUGGAACUGAGACACGGUCCAGACUCCUACGGGAGGCAGCAGUGUGGAAUAUUGCACAAUGGGCGCAAGCCUGAUGCAGCCAUGCCGCGUGUAUGAAGAAGGCCUUCGGGUUGUAAAGUACUUUCAGCGGGGAGGCGUUACCCGCAGAAGAAGCACCGGCUAACUCCGUGCCAGCCGCCGCGGUAAUAC